GGACCCGUAAUCCGGGUUGCGGACAGUGUCUGGUGGGUAGUUUGACUGGGGCGGUCUCCUCCUAAAGAGUAACGGAGGAGCACGAAGGUUGGCUAAUCCUGGUCGGACAUCAGGAGGUUAGUGCAAUGGCAUAAGCCAGCUUGACUGCGAGCGUGACGGCGCGAGCAGGUGCGAAAGCAGGUCAUAGUGAUCCGGUGGUUCUGAAUGGAAGGGCCAUCGCUCAACGGAUAAAAGGUACUCCGGGGAUAACAGGCUGAUACCGCCCAAGAGUUCAUAUCGACGGCGGUGUUUGGCACCUCGAUGUCGGCUCAUCACAUCCUGGGGCUGAAGUAGGUCCCAAGGGUAUGGCUGUUCGCCAUUUAAAGUGGUACGCGAGCUGGGUUUAGAACGUCGUGAGACAGUUCGGUCCCUAUCUGCCGUGGGCGCUGGAGAACUGAGGGGGGCUGCUCCUAGUACGAGAGGACCGGAGUGGACGCAUCACUGGUGUUCGGGUUGUCAUGCCAAUGGCACUGCCCGGUAGCUAAAUGCGGAAGAGAUAAGUGCUGAAAGCAUCUAAGCACGAAACUUGCCCCGA
rnacentral:rRNA from 5 species